CAGUAAAAGGCCAAACCCGCCGCAAGGCGGGGGCGGAAAGCCACGGGUCUCCCUUUGAGGAUAAUUGAGACAGCCGGGUUGCCUGGA
rnacentral:ncRNA from 1 species